rnacentral:rRNA from 1 species
AUGGAGCUGGCCGCUUCAGCUUCGGUGUCCGUCUGCUCGGCGUACCACCACCUCUCAACGCCGGCUGAGGCCAACGACGACAGCACACGGUCCCAACCGCAGCUGCAGCGCCGGAGGAAACAGGCCGCCGGCAGUGGCAUCGGCGGGCUCCGGUCCCGGUGCCAUGCUGUUCUGAAGCAGCAGAGGACGAGGCUGUACAUCCUCCGGCGGUGUGUCUCGAUGCUGCUGUGCUGGAACGAGCACGACAUGUCCGACUGA